UCGUGAUGGGGAUAGAUCAUUGCAAUUGUUGGUCUUCAACGAGGAAUGCCUAGUAAGCGCGAGUCAUCAGCUCGCGUUGACUACGUCCCUGCCCUUUGUACACACCGCCCGUCGCUCCUACCGAUUGAAUGGUCCGGUGAAGUGUUCGGAUCGCGGCGACGGGGGCGGUUCGCCGCCCCCGACGUCGCGAGAAGUUCAUUGAACCUUAUCAUUUAGAGGAAGGAGAAGUCGUAACAAGGUUUCCGUAGGUGAACCUGCGGAAGGAUCAUU
rnacentral:rRNA from 1 species